rnacentral:rRNA from 1 species
UACGAAUGGGGCAAGCGUUGUUCGGAAUCACUGGGCGUAAAGCGUGUGUAGGCGGUCUACCAAGUCAGGAGUGAAAUCCCAGGGCUCAACCCUGGAAUUGCUCUUGAAACUGGUAAGCUAGAGUACUGGAGAGGUUAGCAGAAUUCCGAGUGUAGAGGUGAAAUUCGCAGAUAUUCGGAGGAAUACCAGUGGCGCAAGCGGCUAACUGGACAGUAACUGACGCUGAGACACGAAAGCGUGGGGAUCAAACAGG